UACCAGUCGGUAAUCAACCAGCCGUAAGCUUUCUCCUGGCCACUAACACUCUGGUGUUAAGAAAUGCUUAAACCUCCUGCCCAUGUCCUAAAGUGAUGACUCCUUUCAGCUUAUAACCAAUCCAACAAGACAUUUGGGGAAAAUGUCAGUGAGCAAGAUCAUUGACCUGGGCCCGGUUUCCCAAAGCACUAAUGAUCGUAAGAUGCAAAUCCUUAGGAAACGAGCAG